GAUAAGAACGCAGCGAAAUGCGAUAAGUAAUGUGAAUUGCAGAAUUCAGUGAAUCAUCGAAUCUUUGAACGCACAUUGCGCCCGCCAGUAUUCUGGCGGGCAUGCCUGUUCGAGCGUCAUUUCAACCAUCAAGCCCCCGGCUUGUGUUGGGGACCUGCGGCUGCCGCAGGCCCUGAAAACCAGUGGCGGGCUCGCUGUCACACCGAGCGUAGUAGAUUUUCAUCUCGCUCAGGGCGUGCUGCGGGUUCCGGCCGUAAAAAGCCUUAUUUACCCAAGGUUGACCUCGGAUCAGGUAGGAAGACCCGCUGAACUUAAGCAUAUCAAUAAGCGGAGGA
rnacentral:misc_RNA from 1 species